rnacentral:lncRNA from 1 species
UUGAAAUCCCAAUCCAUAUUGUGCCUCAUGCCACCAUUGGGAAAGUGUGCCUGAGGUCAGCAGUCGAGCUGCCAGGGAUCCUAUGUCAGGAAGAACAAGAUGCCUAUAGGAAGAUUCACGGCCUUACACAUCUGGACUCAGUAACCAAGAUCCAUAAUGGCUCUGUAUUCACCAAACAUCUGUGCAGUCAGAUGUCUGCGGUCUGUGGGCCUCUCCUACAGUGGUUGGAGGACAGACUGCAGCAAAAUCAGCAGCGUUUACAGGAGUUGAAACAAGAAAAAGAAGACCUUAUGGAAGAGCUGUCUUCCCUAGAAUAAAGCAAAA